GUGGCUAAGUGGUUAAAGCAAUUGGCUGCUAAUCAAAAGUUCGGUGGUUUAAACACACCAGCCACCC
rnacentral:tRNA from 1 species